GAUACACCUCGCAGCAAAGGCACCGCAGGAACUAUGGAUCAUCCUUCCUUCACUGACGCUCAGCGAAUUCUUCAGUGUCAUCAGCCACGCUGUGCGGCUGACAGGCACCCCUCUUUGUGAAGCCAGCAACAGCCUGGGGCUCUGCAGACUGGCUUUGUUUUCUCUCCUUGUGCUUUAACACUGACUGUGAUGGGUGAGAGUGCCCCCAAACUGUCAGUGAGGUGCUCCAUUUGCCAGAAGGCUCUGUCUGGACUCAGCUUCCAGUCUGCACUGCUCAGCCAGAGUGUAGAGCUCCCUGGGAAAGCAGAGGUGGUGCUUGGGGGCUGACUCUGACCUGGAGCUGAAGCACACCUUCCCUGACCCCCUAUCUGGUACGAGAAAAAACCCAGCCAAGCUGAAACCCUCCAUGAGCUGGGCACAGUACAUAACUCUUCCUUCCCACCUGCCUUCCACCAAGACUGUGAGCAGCUCUCCCUGCUUCCCCUGUGGGAGACUCCCUUUCCCUUUCCCUUUCCCUUUCCCUUUCCCUUUCCCUUUCCCUUUCCCUUUCCCUUUCCCUUUCCCUUUCCCUUUCCCUUUCCCUUUCCCUUUCCCUUUCCCUUUCCCUUUCCCUUUCCCUUUCCCUUUCCCUUUCCCUUUCCCUUUCCCUUUCCCUUUCCCUUCCCCUUCCCCUUUCUCUUUCCCUUCCCCUUUCCCCUUAAUUCCAUUUGCCUUGGACAAGCAGCCCUUGCGGGGAAAGCCUAGGGACACAGUCAUAUCACCACUGCUCUCCUGUGAGAGAGAAAUGCCAUUUCCUUCUUGGGAGCCAGCAGGGAAGCAGAGAAAUCCCACUCCGUUGUGCACAGAGCUGACAGCCCAUGGCAGGGAACAAAAGGGGAGUAGUUAUUCUCUCAGUGAGUGGGAGCUUGUGACAGAAAUCUGGUUUAGUGUGAGGUUAAUGACCCAGAAGAGUCCCAGAAAGCCAAUGCCAAUUCAACAGAUUCUUUCUGGGCUCCUUAGCAUGUUCUACAUCCUCGAGGAUAGACAGCCCUUCUCCAGGCUAUUUCUGAGCUCUGCAGUGUCGCUACUAAGUGAGCUAUAAAUAUUUCAAAUUAAGUUUUCAACCAGUUACUCAAAACAGGCAAGGACAGGCCCCUGUAUGCUCUCCAUGAGCUGACUGACUCUCCAGAAAACAUGGCUGUCAUCGCUGCCUGGUUCGAAUGACUAAUUUGUCCUCCACAAAUCGGGUGGAAGGCCAUUAGCAAGGAAGCCUGAAAUUCAAUCCCAAGUCAGCUCAAGUAAAUCCUUUUUUCAUGCACUCAGGUAGCAAUGAAGGGCUUGUAUGCAUUUCACUUACAGGAAUCCUGUCUUAAAUUGAAGUGGACCUUAGAAAAGCCCUCACAUAAAAAGAGGUAGUUUCAAAUGCCUGUAUGCCCUCUACAAAAGAAUUGUACACUGAGGGACAAACCCAAACACCACCUCAAUGCAAACCCAGAGUUUAGGCAUGUCAUAAGCUGCUGUUGUUUAUUUACUCCCCUACAUCUCAGCAGGUCCCAUUCUGUAGCUCUUGGCUAGAGUUUGGUUCCUGUAGCUCCAGGCACAGACCGAUGCAGUGGAGGUUGGGAGGGGGUGGGGCUCCGUAGACACACACACACAAACACAUACAUUGUACUCAGAUCACAUUUUGUACUUAUGACUUUCUAGCUUCUAGUGGGCUGAUCAAGUUUUUGGCCAGCCUAUAUCCAAAACAAAAAACCUGCAAUGGUUGGUCUCUGCUGGAGUUUUGCAUGAACAGACCAAACCAGAGGUACUUUUCCUUCCCCUUGUGGGCUUUGUUUUCUUUGUUUCUUUUUUCGUAUUAAAUCCAUAACCUACAUUUUGUGUUGAAAUCCUGCAAAUUCAAACAACCAUCAGAGCUUCAGUCUUCCUUCCUAUGCAAUAUGAAUAAGAAGCAGCAAGGGGUCGUCAGUGAAUUACGUGCAGGGCACCACGAAAUCACAAAAGGGAAGUUGCUAUGCAAGGACACACUAUCAUCAACCCACUAUCAUCACUGUCAUUAGCAAAGCAGUGGGAGGGAAGGAAGACAAGAUAAGGGUAUCAGUCUACAGUAUCUACGCUUUGCAUUGCUCACAGGGCUCAAUGAAUUCCUGAAUGCUAAUUGCAUUACCUGGUUAGCUGUAAGCUCCACUCUGGGCUCCUCCCCUUGUGUGUGGGAGAAUUACUGGGAAGGUAACAACGCGAUUGCUGCCCUUCCUGGCAUUUCAAGAAAAUGUCACACUUUCAACAAAGCUCAGUAACUUUGCUCCUGGAUGAAUGCUGUCAAAAAUAGCUCCUCUUUUUUGAUCAGCUCUUCCUCACUCCCUCCCUCUCUAGUUCUCAAUGAAUGAUUCAGGAUCUGUAUACAUAAGCUAUCUGUGCAAUGGUUGGCUCUCUCAGGUCCCAGAUGACGCAAAUUCAGCUUUCACUGCACAUCCUCAGCUCAAUCUGGGGCACUGUUCAGCAGUACUGCUGGUGUUAACCUUGUGCUGUCAGCCUGGAGAAGAAAUGAAUGCUGUCCUGUUUCUGUGGGUGGCUGUGAAGCUGGACCAAGGCAGAACUCCCUGUAUAUCAGGACUCCUCGGGUGCACUGGAGUAACAACUUAUCGCUGCUGUGAACUGGCUGUUCCUUGGGCAUUGCUAAAAAAGCAGA